GAUCAUGGCUCAGGAUGAACGCUGGCGGCGUGCUUAACACAUGCAAGUCGAACGAUUAACCCAAACUUCGGUUUGGUUAUAAAGUGGCGAACGGGUGAGUAACACGUGACCAACCUGCCUUCUAGAUCGGGAUAACUCAAGGAAACUUGUGCUAAUACCGGAUACUCAGGAGCAAUCGCAUGGUAGCUUCGGGAAAGCUUUUGCGCUAGAAGAUGGGGUCGCGGCCUAUUAGGUAGUUGGUGGGGUAGAGGCCU
rnacentral:rRNA from 1 species